UGACGGUCCUCGGUCGCGAGGCGUUCG
rnacentral:sRNA from 1 species